rnacentral:miRNA from 1 species
UGGCACAAUACUUGCAUGUAG